UACGGAGGGUGCAAACGUUGCUCGGAAUCAUUGGGCGUAAAGGGUGCGUAGGCGGUCGGGUAAGUCUGAUGUGAAAUCUCACAGCUUAACUGUGAAACUGCAUUGGAUACUAUCCGGCUCGAGGAAUGGAGGGGAGACUGGAAUACUUGGUGUAGCAGUGAAAUGCGUAGAUAUCAAGUGGAACACCAGUGGCGAAGGCGAGUCUCUGGACAUUUCCUGACGCUGAGGCACGAAAGCCAGGGGAGCAAACGGG
rnacentral:rRNA from 1 species